rnacentral:rRNA from 1 species
CAGCAGCCACGGGAAUACGAAGGGGGCUAGCGUUGUUCGGAAUUACUGGGCGUAAAGCGCACGUAGGCGGAUAUUUAAGUCAGGGGUGAAAUCCCAGAGCUCAACUCUGGAACUGCCUUUGAUACUGGGUAUCUUGAGUAUGGAAGAGGUGAGUGGAAUUCCGAGUGUAGAGGUGAAAUUCGUAGAUAUUCGGAGGAACACCAGUGGCGAAGGCGGCUCACUGGUCCAUUACUGACGCUGAGGUGCGAAAGCGUGGGGAGCAAACAGGAUUAGAUACCCGCGUAGUCCCUGUCUCUUAUAC